rnacentral:rRNA from 2 species
UCUUUAAUGGAGAGUUUGAUCCUGGCUCAGGACGAACGCUGGCGGCGUGCCUAAUACAUGCAA